rnacentral:tRNA from 2 species
CCGAUUGGUUCCGGGUUCGAGUCCCGGGCAACCCA